rnacentral:rRNA from 1 species
ACGCUCGACACCUACUGGAGGCAGCAGUGGGGAAUAUUGCACAAUGGGGGAAACCCUGAUGCAGCGACGCCGCGUGAGCGAAGAAGUAUUUCGGUAUGUAAAGCUCUAUCAGCAGGGAAGAAACUGACGGUACCUGACUAAGAAGCACCGGCUAAAUACGUGCCAGCAGCCGCGGUAAUCUGAGGCGGCUGGCGAAGGC